GAUGAACGCUGGCGGCGUGCCUAAUACAUGCAAGUCGAGCGAACGGACGAGAAGCUUGCUUCUCUGCUGUUAGCGGCGGACGGGUGAGUAACACGUGGAUACCCUACCUAUAAGACUGGGAUAACUUCGGGAAACCGGAGCUCAUACCGGAUCAUAUUUUGAACCGCAUGGUUCAACAGUGAAAGACGGUCUUGCUGUCACUUCUAGAUGGAUCCGCGCUGCAUUAGCUAGUUGGUAAGGUAACGGCUUACCAAGGCAACGAUGCAUAGCCGACCUGAGAGGGUGAUCGGCCACACUGGAACUGAGACACGGUCCAGACUCCUACGGGAGGCAGCAGUAGGGAAUCUUCCGCAAUGGGCGAAAGCCUGACGGAGCAACGCCGCGUGAGUGAUGAAGGUCUUCGGAUCGUAAAACUCUGUUAUUAGGGAAGAACAUAUGUGUAAGUAACUGUGCACAUCUUGACGGUACCUAAUCAGAAAGCCACGGCUAACUACGUG
rnacentral:rRNA from 1 species